CUCUUUGAAGGGUGUUUCUACAGAAGUGCAUGGGAUAAUAUGCCCCAAUUAUAAGCCGAUUCUUGAAUCAACGUAAUUCCCAUAAUGGUGUGUCAACAUGCCCACAAUGUCAAUGACGACCACUUUAUUCUUUCCGGUGUCAUCAAUUUCAUUAUUGGGUUAGAAUAGACUAGCCUAUAUAUAUAUAUUCGUAGAAACACCAGCUUGACACUAAGGUGCUUUAAUAUAACUUUAAUAUAACCUCCUUAACAAAGGCCAUCUUUUAGCAAAAAGUUUCCUUCCUUCUUUUGAACUUUCCAGGCUGCAGUAGACGAAGUGACACAUAGCUACUUUACAAUACUCAUUGAGGUAGCAUAUUAGAAACCUUCACUCAAAACCUUCAAUCAAAAUAUUUUGUUACUUUGAUGAAUGCUAUUGAUAAAUGAAUACAUGCUUGAUUCCUUAAAUAACUGAAUUCUAACUCCUGGUGUACUCCUUCAUGGUCCUCUUGGAUUCAUCCUCGUGGAUUCAUCAGUUGCAUGCAUGUCUUAAACGGUAACUGAAACUGACAGUCUGUUGGUGUCACUGUUGGUGUACGGAUCGCUGUGUGCGUGCAGUGUAUGGAAUUUGACAGUACAUAAAUACGGGUUCUUCGAGAUUGGAUAAACGAUCGUAUAAACUUGGUUUGAACUGAUCGCGACUAUCUGAAAGAAAUACAAAAGAAACCUUCGACGACCCUUCGUCUUCUGACUAUCGAAGUUUUCUUUUUCUCCUUCAAAACGACCAAACGAAGACAGUUUAUUCAAUACUACCCACACUGGAACCCCACGUUUGAUGCGAAAGUACACCCAUGCCGCAAAUAUUCGCCAGAAAAGUUACUAAUCUCAUAAGAAACUGAUAAAACAAGGCUACGCUACAUAUAUUAACGAGUCUAUUGUGAU